UAGUCCACGCUGUAAACGAUGAGUGCAAGGUGUUGGGGGUCAAACCUCGGUGCCGCCGUUAACACAGUAAGCACUCCGCCUGGGGAGUACGUACGCAAGUAUGAAACUCAAAGGAAUUGACGGGGACCCGCACAAGUAGCGGAGCAUGUGGUUUAAUUCGAUGCAACGCGAGGAACCUUACCAAGUCUUGACAUAUUUCGGAGGGACUUAGAGAUAAGUUCCGAGGACUUCGGUCCACUGAAAAAC
rnacentral:rRNA from 1 species